AGGUGUGGGUUUGUAUGUUACAAGAUGUAUAUAUGGUACUGUGUGCCCACCACCCAAAGUCCAAUCAUCUUCUGUAAUCAUAUACUAGGACCCUUAAGCCCCCACCCCCUUCCUCUGGCGACCACCACACCGCUGUUUGUGUUCAUGAGUGUCCAUUUUGUAGCCCCCGUAUGAGUGAAAUCACAUGGUUCUCAGCUUUUUCUGCCUGACUUAUUUCACUUAGCAUACUAUUCCCAAGGUCCACCCAUGACCUGUCACUUUAGACUCCCUACUUGUAAGACACCUCUCCAAACUUGUAUUCUCAUCCAAAAGUAAUAUUUUAUUCGCCUGGGUUCUCAUAAUAUCUUAUGGGGACCAAUCUCCUGGCAUCAGUCACUUGAUGAUAGUUCCUGGUUACAUGUCUAGUUUCCCAUGCUAGACGGUGAGCUCAUUAUGCUUUGUCCAUCUGCAUCUCCUUGGCACCAACACAGCGCCUCGUACAUAGCAGGCACUAAAUAAAUAUUUAUUAAAGCAAAGCAAUGCUGGCUGUUUUUGUCUUUAAUAUUGAAGUGCUGAUAAAAUUAGUGUCUGGCACACCUCAUGAAAAUGUUGGUGGAACUGAGGUGUGUGGGGACAGUCCCCUUUGAGGGCACUUGCUGCUACCUUCUUGCAGUGACUCGUGAUGGGUGGUCACAGCUGUCAUCCCAAGCCCCAGCAUGUGAAGCUGGGUUGGGCCUCUCCAGACAAAUUCUCCAGCUUGCUUUAAAUUGGGGAGUCUGUCCGUUAGGAUGUCCUGCACCUUAAGGAACAGGAAAUCCUGACUCAGCUGGGCUGGAAGGGAAGUUUAUCUCACAUGAGAAGUCAGGAGGAGCACGCCCCUCUGCUUGGCUCAGUCGGCUCGCGGCAGGGCUGUGGGAGGACCACGUGACGGCCGCUUACUGGGAAAUGGGACACACACUCAAAUGGGACGCGCUCUGGGAGGAGAGGACCUCCCGUCUGUGCCUCAAGUGCAUUCGCCAGAAGACCCACCCCAAGCCUCCGGCAGCCUUCCCCUCAGGGCUCACUGGCUACAAGGGCUUCAUGCGACUUAGAAAACCAGCAGUGACGGGAACGGCUUAGACCAUGCCCGUGGCUGUGUGGAGGACCAUUACCUCCUUUGUGCGGGCAAAAGGGAUAAAAUUAGAAAGAAUACACAUAACCAAUGUUUGCUUUUAGUUGUGUGUAUAAUCUCUUCACCCAGUGUAGCCAGCCAACAUUUUUCUCUUGGUAAUCAGUAUUUGUUGGGCUUUGGUUCCAAAAUACUGUUUUUCUUCAGGCUACAUGCAUUUCCAAAUUCAAAGUUGAUAAGACUGGUAGGCACUUGUAUUAUGUCAUUAACUGCCUCAGACCUGAUAAACUCCUUAUCUAAUGGUGCAUGUCAAAACAGUAAGAUGAGAUGCCUGCUGGCGCUGAAACCGGUUUGGCUCAGUGGAUAGAGC